GUAAUUUAUUAACUUUCCUACUUCUAUUGCGGGUUAAUUGGUCAAUGACUCAUUGUAAAACGCAUAGAUCUACCUAUCUGCUUCAUAAAACAGCUAAAGCCUCCAACACAACCAAAAAACUUAACAGGCUUCUUCUUUCCUCUUCUUCUUCAACCAAUCUGCUGAAGAGAAUUGAUAUGGAGACGGACACAGCAACCAGAUAUCUAAUAGAGAUCCUCUACCAACCAGAUUGUUACGAUUCAAAUUGGCUUACAUAAGUUACAAGAAGUUGGGCAGCCAAAAGGUAUUGCAAAAUUUCCCGUUUGCAAAUGACUCAAUUGGGUGUUGUUUUUCCACUUAUUAGCUUCUAUUGCUGGGCCAAGAGGUUGAUCCUUUGCCUUUUGUUUCGACCAAAGGUGGCCUCAACAUCUCAGGGAAUUGUGGGUGACUUUAAAUAGUUUCAAUGUCUGUUACUUCCUAGUAAUUGGAGAAAUCUAGGUUCAACCUCUGUGUAACUCUAAUGAUAUUUUUAGCAAACAAAAUAUAGAAACAAUACCAAUGCCAA